CAGGUUUGGGGAUGGGGUGUCCUUUGGGCUAAAACUAAGCAAGGGUUUCUCAAUUUCUGCCCUUCUAGGACUGGCUGAAUUCCGCUCUUGGCUUCCAGGGCUGAAUUUUGCAAACACUCGGACUUCCCUACUUUGGCAGUAACCCCACCUCCUGAGUCCAGCUGUGACCCUGACAAUGUUUCCAAUCUUGCGCUCCCAGGAGGAAGGCCAAGUCUGCAGCAGGGGUGAUAAGGUCAAUUGAGAAGAACCCUCUCAGCAAAGGAUGCUGCAACCCUCAUCCCCCCCCCCCACUCCCCCGCAGCAGCACUGGAGCCAGCAGACAGGUAGCCCUGACUCUAUUUUGCAGCCGGGGAAACUGAGGCAGUGCACGGAUCCCGGUGGUCCCCCGGGUUGGCGGAAAAGGAGCGCGAACCACCGCGAGCGCGGAGAAAAGUUGGGGGGAGAAAGAGGGGGAAGAGGGAAGGCGGCACUGGUACUCUGCAGUGCACGGUGGUCCCCUGGGACAGCUCCCUCAAGCGCUCCCGCCCCACCGGAAGCGAGUGCCGGGGCCGCGUGGAGGCGACAUCCACUGGCCGGCGGGAACAUGGGACCGAGGGCGCUCCGGGAUGCCGCCCCUCCGUGGCCCCCCAGUCCUGAAUGCCCACAUCCCCGAUCUCGCGCCCUCCCGAGAACGCUAUCACUAGGGACCACCCACCCAGAAGCAAUCCAUGUCAAAGAGGAGGGCAGGUUCUGA
rnacentral:lncRNA from 1 species